GGAGUGCGUGUCUUCAAUUCCGUAGUGCAUUGCAGUGUUUGUAGCAGCAGUCUGCAAGCAGUGCGGAAGUGAGGAUUCGUCUCU